GAUGAACGCUAGCGGGAGGCUUAACACAUGCAAGUCGAGGGGUAUAGUAGCAAUACUAGAGACCGGCGCACGGGUGAGUAACGCGUAUGCAACCUGCCCUUUACAGGGGGAUAGCCCGUCGAAAGGCGGAUUAAUACCCCAUAAUAUUGUACCAUCGCAUGAUGGAACGAUAAAAGCUGCGGCGGUAAAGGAUGGGCAUGCGUGACAUUAGCUUGUUGGUAGGGUAACGGCCUACCAAGGCUACGAUGUCUAGGGGCUCUGAGAGGAAGGUCCCCCACACUGGUACUGAGACACGGACCAGACUCCUACGGGAGGCAGCAGUGAGGAAUAUUGGUCAAUGGGCGCGAGCCUGAACCAGCCAUCCCGCGUGCAGGAAGACGGCCCUAUGGGUUGUAAACUGCUUUUGUGCAGGAAGAACGCCAGGUACGUGUACUUGGGUGACGGUACUGCAUGAAUAAGCACCGGCUAACUCCGUGCCAGCCGCCGCUGUAACAC
rnacentral:rRNA from 1 species